AGAUGGGCUGAAUUAUUCCACUGCAGGACUUGUGGCAUAGUUAGCCCUAUACUUGCCACACUAAUAUCAGACCUUACUCCCAGCACAGAGCUAGCCUGGGCUCUUAGAGAGCAAGCUCCAGACUCCAUCUCAGUCUCUCCUGUACCAGCCGCUGCCCAAGGAGGAACGUUGCACUGCAUUCAGGAGGCUCAUGGACUUGGCCUGGAGAGAAUGCAACUGAAGCUGAGAUAUGUCCAGAUGCAGAGGAGAGGAAAAGUGACAGGCAGCCUGGUUGUCCAUCAGCUGUUGGGACACCCACACAGUGCCGCAAAUUACAGGACUCUCUGCAAGGACUGCUCUAAAAAUAUCCAGCCAUCAUAAAUUAUCCCAAAAUGAAUUGUUUUAAAAAUAGAUUUUGAAAUGACUGUUCCUUUCUGUCUCCUGCUAAAAGAUCUGCUGGUAAAGAAGCCACUUAGCUUUCCACAUGUACCAGCACUGGUUGCAGCCAGAGACUCAUGCUUCCUAUAUUCAAGCCAAAACCCGUUUGACGGAUGCCAAAACAGACCUGGAUCUAGGGCAUCCACACCCAGGCUUGAAGGAUCCUAAAAUGACUUUUGCCUAUUGCUUGCCAGAAGCUGGCAGCGCACAGAACCACAGCCAAUUAUUAUCCUCGUAAAUAACAGCUAGCCCGGAAAAGGAGCAAUGUGAUUGUGAGAGCACAAGCUGAAGGAAAAAAUGUGGGCUGUAUUUAACAAUGGCAGAUCAAAUUCUUCCCUGGAUUAGCCAUGCGCAAGCUCAAGGGUUAGCCAGUUUGUCCUUCUAUGCGGAAGACAGCCAGAGCUGCUGCUAACAGACGUGUCUGACUGUGCAGUAUGCGUGUCUCAUGCUCACCGUUAGCAUUAUCUUCAGUCUUGACAGGCAUAAGGGGGCUCUGGGGAGCAGAGUCUCCACUGAGGGAGUAGCUGUGCUCUGCCUGGAUGCCUGGAGUGGGUGGGUCCAGGUCCAUGUCCAGCAGCGGGUUCUUUUCAGCCAGAACUGGGUCAUCGAAGAAACUGCUGAAGAGGUCGUUGGAGAAAUCCUCCAUGUUGUCAGAGAAGUGAUCCAGGUUCUCAGAGAAAUGCUGAGGAAAAUCCAAGGGAGACAGAAUAUUAGUGUCAACUCCAAGAGGAAUCUGAGCUUUCUCCUGUGCUGGCAGCCAAACCUCAGCAAAAGCACUUUCUGGAUGGGAAAGAACAGUUGCUACCCCUUCUUUGCAUCAGUGUGAUAAAGACACCAGGACUUUAGACAGAAAAAGAUGAGGUGCUUUAUAGAUUCUCUGCUUAUUUAUCUAUGCUGUGAACGCAAGCAAAACUCUUUUAUACCCUCACAUCUCCUCCUUCCUCUGUGGGUACCUAACUUCAGCUUCCCAGCAUCAUCUCACUAUGACAUCUAGCCAAGCAGAGAACAAGGCAAGAAAUCCCUGUGAUGACAAAAAGUGUGGCUGAAAAUCAUGGUCUUCAGCACCUGUGGUGACAGACACUUUCUCAUGAUCUCUGCCAGCAGUGAUAGGCACUCUGAUGCCCCAGAGAACAUCAAACCAGCUGCUGAUUUCUAUCAGAGAGGAAAAAGAAAUCAAUUGGAUCCACAGGACAGGAAGACCCCCUGUUAUAUUUAAUUUCCUCUGGGAUUUCACAGCCCCUCUGCGGACCAUAUGAAGCUGUCCUCCAGCCAGAUAAUGACUGUGAAAUUCUGCUCCCCGAUGAAGUUUAAACACUACAGAUGGGCUGUUAACAACAAACAAUCAUGCCACUAAUCAUUCUAGUAACAGCCAGUAAAUCUGGCGGGUGCAGUUGGGGAGCCGGGCUCCUGAUGCCACAGGGAACCUGCUUCUUUUGAGGCAUAUCCCCCUAUUCAGAACUCAGAUUGCUAACUUUUCCAUUUGCUACAACAAAGCGCCGGUUGAGCGGGAGAAAAAUGAUGAUUGCCAAACACCAGCUGAAAAAUCAUCCCAUUCGUUGGCAGAUUGACGCUUUUGGCUCAUGGGGAGGAAAGAAAAGACAGAUACAUUCAAGUGACUGUAUUACACAGACGGAACUGUGUAACUUAAAUGAACUGGAGAGAGCUCAGCCGAGUCAGACUGCCCCCACCCGCCCGACUGUAAAAGCAUCUGGGUGGGCAGAAGAGUGUUGAAAGCAGCAUAUUGAAAUACCAGGAGCAAAAGGGUAUGAACAGGAGAAAGUGCAAGAGAGCUCACAGGUCCUAGAGUAGAGGCAUGAAUGCCAGUGAACAUUUCUGGGAGAGCCAGUUCCUAGAAGAGCAGGGGGUGCGUGCAGUUCUUUCCCCACCUGUAACAUUGAGGAAGGAGUUGGCCAGAGGACCCCGGAUGCUGGACCGUGCAGGUUCCUGUUCCUACAGGAAGGUAUAUUUGCUUUACCUGAGCACAGUAUCACUCUGUCAACAUUACUUGGGCUGCCCAAGCGUGGGGUGAGGCUGGGGAAUGAAGUAGGCUCCAGCUGAGCAGACUUGCACUUCCCACCAAGUGGGGGAGGGAAAUGGUAAGCUGUUGCAGUUUCUGUCAUUGCAGUGCCCUUCGCCUUCCAACGUCAUCCCUCAGCCACUAGAUUUAAAAAUCAAAUGCCCGCGGAGCAUGUGGGAAAUGGGCAAAAGUCCCUGCUGUCUGCAUUCUACCUGACAUGAGGUUUCCCUCCCAGUGAGAAGGCCCUCCCAGGGAAGUCUGGGAUGAAGAUUUCUCCACUUGCUCCCAUACUGGCAGCAUGUAGGCAAGGCAGCCACUCAGCCAUUUUCAAGCUGCCUAGUCUGCACUUGGUUCAAGUGACAGCCAACACCUCCAUCUGCACUGUUCUUCUAAGGGAGCUGAGUCAGCAGAUGGAAUUGGGUUAUUUAAAAAGCACUGGAAAACCAAGUUUUGUCCUGCCCUACAACACAGAGGGGUAAGAGAGUACAGAGUCCUGAGCAUUAACCCCAGAGAGUGCCUGCUCAUGUAACAGCUGUUCUUUGUCUUGCUUCUCCAAACAGCACAAGCAAACAGGACAUGAACAUGAUAGCCUUAUGGUAAGGAUGUGAAUGUAACCAAUCAUAGACAAGUAAAAGGAUUCAGAGUUUUGGCUGCCAAUGUAACACCAAAGCACACAGAGCCAGGAUCUGACAGGAGGCAUCCAACCUGUGUAAGUACAGCCAUAGCCAUAAAAACUAGAAUGAAUGUGUAACUCUCAGAGAGGAGCAGGAAUGGAUGGUCAGCUGCAGGAAGAAUCAUCUGUGACUGCCACGAGCUUCAAAUUUCUUUCACAAGCUUGUGUUAACAAAGGUGGGGCUGGAGACCAGCCAGGGAGAUGAUGCAGUUAUGCAUUAGUUCCACUCACUGUCCUUUAACACUCAUGCUUAAAACAAGGGUUAGGACAAACCUACCUGGAGGGAAGAGAAGCUCUGCCUCUAGGUUUACUUUGAAAUGCCAGCAGUGUCUAAGGGGUGAGAUGACAGUAAUGAGUGCACGGGGCUGAGCAUCGGAGCUUUAACGCAGGCACUGACACUGGCAGAAGUCAUUGUGUAUUUCCACAACAGAAUAAACAAGAAGCUGAGCCACCAAGUCCUGAGGAGACUGCUGGGCUGCUUUCAUGGGCUUUGUGCCUUCCCAACGCCAAAAGGAAGUGUUAGCUUUAGGAUAGGUGUCAGUGUAACAGUGAUUAGCAACAGUAUUCGUAGAUGCAGCUAUACAGUAACAAGAAAGUAUCUCCUUGUCCAGAUCCAACUGUGAUGGGCACACUGUAGCAAAGCCCAGUGCUUGUUUCAAAACCACUGCUAUUUAGCCCAGAUCAACCCUAACAGCCCAGAAUAUGCAAACUCUGCUGCUCAGCCUCAUUGGGAGAGCUACACUUACCUGGUAAAACUCCGAGAAGGCUUCAGCCACCUUCCUCCUUAACAUA